rnacentral:miRNA from 2 species
UCCCACCGAGCAGCCGGAUCUC